rnacentral:lncRNA from 1 species
CGCCGCCCGUUCGCAGGCCAGGAGCGGCCAGGGCCUCCCGCAUGCGCUCCCACACGUACGCGGAGCGGGCAGCAGCCAUCCCACCGCGCACACGCAAGCCGCCCUGCGCGCCUGGAGCCCUGGAGCCCACUGCGGUGCUGCGCCCGAGCACGUACUGAGGCGUGGCCUGCCGCGCGCCGGGCGGGGCUCGGGAAGUUUCUCGGGUUGGCUUGGGUUUCGCAUCCUCAUCAUGUAGCGCCAGCCACACCAGGAACAGAAGGGUGCCGGGUACCUUCCGCAUGCUUGGUAUUCUCCCCGCGGGGCUCUGACCGCUGCCGCUCUCAGGCACCUGUCUUUCCUCUCCGUCCCAGAAUGGAGCCAAGACAAGGGAAUAAACGAAAUUCAAUAGUACACGGAGAUUGGGUGUCUGGGCAGCGUCUUGGAAAAACUAUCCACUACAAGUACAGGUCAAGUGAAGUUCUUCUGCUGAUAUAUUCUGCUACUGCAUAAGGUACUAUAUUUCAGUUAAGAGUACAGUUAAAAUAGUUUGUUUACCCAUUUCUAUGACUGUUCUAGAACUAAAGUUGGAGUAUACUACUGGCAAAAUAGCUCAAUCUUUGUGGUAUUGUAGUUUUUACAUGCUUACUAUUUUAUUAUUUAACAUACAAUAUUAGACACAAAA